rnacentral:misc_RNA from 1 species
GUAAAUGUCCACCAAUCCCAACCAAGCACAAGGUGUGAUAAUUUCCAUACACCAAACUCUCUGACCACAUAGUCACCGGAUCGAAACCCCUCAACGCAAAAACACCCCUCCAGUCCCGUCUCCACUCCAAUCUUCAGAUGCACUCCAAACCACCAAUACCAAGAACUCUUUGUCAGCAACAGUUGGUCUCAGAAUUCUAAUCAAACAACCAACCGGACCCUGCCAAUCUGGACUCAACCCUGCUCUCUCUCUUUCGUUAUCACGCCAUGACGCAUCACUGCUUGCCAUACCUUUCACAUGCUGCUCUUUCCGGAACAUUAGCGACAGACCUACAGAACAUUUCACAGUACGAACAUACAUGGCACAGUACAUACAUACCGUGUAUCGUACUCGAACUCGAACUCGAACUGUGGAGAGACUAAGCCGACCCAUAUGGUUCGGGCCAGGUCAACAAAAGUAAAGUUCAUAGUGUGGGAAAUGCCGUGCGCAUGUGUAUCUUAGCCCAGGCACGUACCUGACUGGAUUGCCAAAUAUAGCAACGCUGACAGCACAGGUGGAUAUUGGUUCCAUUUCGGGAACGGAUCCCUUGUCACCCACUUAUACGGACUCUUUGUACAUGUCCCAAAAAAGACAGACAGGUGCGCAUUAACAGUCCCGAAGAGACCUCUGUCUACGACCCGUUUAUUUUUGCUCUGAAUUAAAGACAAAGACAACCUCAUGCAUACGGGUAAACUCAAAUAUACAUGCAAUAGACUUC